UGAAUAUGUCAUAAACCAUUUGGGAUGAAGACCAUGGAAGAAGAGUGGAUAUCCACCAUAAAUUACUAUUUAUCAAAACAAAAAGAUAUUUUUUUAUUUUAUCAAGUGUUCAAAUGUAUCCCAUCUCACAUUACAUAUCUAUAUUUAUACUAUUACAUAUGAAGGUUACAAAAUAAUUGUCUUAAACAUGGCAUUAACAAUUGACAUCAUGGGAAAGAUCACAUGGAGGGGUUAUGGAGGUGUGGGAGUUACAAUCAUAAUGGUUAUGAGUAGUGGGUGGUUAUUUAUAUCAUGGGUGAAAGUAGUGGGAGUAGUGGACAGAAAGAUCACAUGAAGGGGUUAUGGAGGUGUGGGAGUUACAAUCGCAAUGGUUAUGAGUAGUGGGUGGUUAUUUAUAUCAUGGGUGAAAGUAGUGGGAAUAGUGGACAUCCAUAUUUACUAAAUAUUUUGUAACACUCUCUCUUGGAUGUCCAAAAAAAAUAGAUAAUAUGCCUCGUUAAAAUUUUACUAAGAAAGAACCCUACAGAAAAAAAUCUUAGUGGAGGAAAAAGGGUACGCAUAUCUGUAAUACACUUAAUUUGCUGCCUUGUUAACAACUUUACCAGUAAAAUUCAGUGGGACAAAACUUAUACUAAGGGAAAAAGAGUACAGCGUGUAUGUUACUCCCCCUCAUAAAAAUAUCACUUUAUUUCUCGAAGACGUCGCAUUCCAAUCUUCUGUCUCAACUUCUCAAAUGUUGAGGUUGGUAAAACCUUAGUGAAUAGAUUUGGACAAAAUUUCACAUGAACGAAUCUAUUCAUUUCACCAUUUUGUUGAAGAUCAUGCGUGAAAAAGAACUUUGGUAAAAUAUGCAUUGUUCUGUCUACUUUAAUGUAUCCUUUUUUUAGUGGAGCAAUUCAAACAAUAUUGUUUUCAUAUAGUGUUGUUGGAUUAUCCUUUUUCAUAAGAAAAUCACACAUUUCCUGAAUAUGCUGAGUCAUUGAUCUCAACCAAACACAUUCCAAACUAGCUUUAUGAAUGGCUAUUAUCUCAGCAUGAUUUGAAAACGUGGCAGCUAUUGCUUGUUUCAUUGAACGCCAUAAUAUAAUAGUACCUCCAUAUGUAAAUAAAUAGCUUAUGUGAGAUCGAGAUUUAUGUGGAUCAGACAAAUAACCUGCAUCAACAUAGCUAAUAAUUUCUGACUUGAAUUCAUUAGAAUAAAACAAUCCCAUAUUAUGGUUCCCCGAAGAUAUCUAAAUAUAUGCUUAACACCAUUCCAAUGUAUUCUUGUUGGGGAGGAGCUGAAUCUUACUAAUAAGCUCACAGCAAAAGCAAUAUCUGGUCGAGUAUUGGCAAGAUACAUCAGUGCCCCAAUUGCACUAAGAUAUGGAGUUUUAUCACCAACGAGCUCUUCAUUAUUUUCUUGAGGUCGAAAUGGAUCUUUAUUUAUAUCAAACGAUCUUACAACCAUUGGGGUACUCAAUGGAUGCGCAUUAUCCAUGCAAAAUUGCUUUAAAACCUUUUCAGUAUAUGUUGAUUGAUGGACAAAAAUUCCAUUUGGUAUAUUCUCAAUUUGUAGGUCAAGACAAAAUUUUGUCUUACCAAGAUCUUUCAUCAAACACUCUAUAGACUUUGAAAGCUCUUUAGAGGUUCCAAUAAUAUUCAGGUCAUCAACAUACACAUCUAUGAUGACAAAUUCAGAUCCAGACCUCUUAAUAAAGAUACAGGAUCAAAAAGGGUCAUUUUUGUACCCUUCCUUUAGCAAAUACUCGCAAAGGUGAUUGUACCACAUCCUCCCUGAUUGCUUCAAUCCGCAUAAGUAUUUUUGAAACUUUAUUGAACAAGUUUCUCUUGAACUUUUAUGUGCUUCAGGAACUUUAAAUCCUUCAGGGAUUUUCAUAAAAAUUUCAUUAUCUAGUGAACAAUAUAAGUAGGUUGUGACAACAUCCAUCAACUGCAUAUUAGGAAUUUUCAUAAAAAUUUUCAUUAUCCAAUGAGCCAUAUAAGUAGGUUGUGACAAUAUUCAUCAACCGCAUAUCACGCUUUUCACGGACUACCAGAUUUAUUAGAUACCUGAAGGUAAUUGCAUCUACCACAGAAGAAUAUAUCUCCAUAUAAUCAAUCCCAGGCCUUUGCGAAAACCCUUGUGCCACAAAUCGUGCUUUAUAUCUUAUGAUUUCACCUUUCUUAUUUUGUUUUCACACAAAAAACCAUUUGCACCCCACUAGCUUGACACCUUCACACGUUCAGAUUAUUGGUCCAAAAAUUUCACAUUUUUAGAGUGAAGCCAAUUCUUGUUGCAUCAAAUUAUUUCAUAUGUAAUAGUAUAAAUAGAGGCAUGAAAUGUGAGAUGGGACACACUUGAACACUUGAUGAAAUAAGAAAGUUAUCUCUUCUUCUCUUAUUCUACUUAUCUUCUUGUUUUAUAUUGUAACUUUGAGCUAUAUUUCUUAACACAUUUCUAUAUACUAGAAGAGCUAGGUUUUGACCCGUUAGCUUCAUGUCUUUUUUUCAAAGCUCGAGGGUAAUAUUGUCAUCGAAGUAUUGAUUCUAUAUCCGAAAGGUAUAAUAGUUAUCUUCUAUAUUUCUUUUCCUCUUCUUACCAUUUCUACUGGUAUUGUACUGUUUGAAUUAAGUCAAACUAUUAUCAUGAUUAGUGAUCAUGAAAGAAAUAGAUUCUCUCCUAUCUUUCUCUCUACAUUGUUAUCCAUAUUUGCAUGAUGGUUAGAGACUCGUCCUGAUAACGUGUUAUAAAAUGAAAGUAAUUUAGUAAACAUGAACAAGAAAUAUAAGCAACUUAGUGAAACAUGAACAGGAAAUGUAGAUAGAGAAAAGGAAGAGAUUUUCUUCUUCAAUUGUGUAUAGUCUCCUAUCUAUUACAAAGCCUUUAUAUAGGCAUAAAAAGUGAAGAAAAUAUGCCAUGGAAUAUGUCAUUGAACAUACAAAAUAUGUCAUUGAAUAUGUCAUAAACCAUUUGGGAAUAUUCUCAUAUCUAUUACAAAGCCUUUAUAUAGGCAUAAAAAGUAAAGAAAAUAUGUCGUGGAAUAUGUCAAUGAACAUACAAAAUAUGUCAUUGAAUAUGUCAUAAACCAUUUGGGAUGAAGACCAUGGAAGAAGAGUAGACAUCCACCAUAAAUUAAUAUUUAUCGUAACAUGGUCUUCUUUACCACCUCCUGCCGGAAAGACUAGUAUUUAUAGUAACUUCAUGAAUAGCAAUNNNNNNNNNNNNNNNNNNNNNNUAAACAUGAACAAGAAAUAUAAGCAACUUAGUGAAACAUGAACAAGAAAUGUAGAUAGAGAAAAGGAAGAGAUUUUCUUCUUCAAUUGUGUAUAUUCUCAUAUCUAUUACAAAGCCUUUAUAUAGGCAUAAAAAGUAAAGAAAAUAUGUCGUGGAAUAUGUCAAUGAACAUACAAAAUAUGUCAUUGAAUAUGUCAUAAACCAUUUGGGAUGAAGACCAUGGAAGAAGAGUAGACAUUCGCCAUAAAUUACUGUUUAUCAUAACAAAAAGAUAUUUCUUUAUUUUAUCAAGUGUUCAAGUGUAUCCCAUCUCACAUUACAUAUCUAUAUUUAUACUAUUACAUAUGAAGGUUACAAAAUAAUUGUCUUAAACAUGGCAUUAACAAUUGACAUCAUGGGAAAGAUCACAUGGAGGGGUUAUGGAGGUGUGGGAGUUACAAUCAUAAUGGUUAUGAGUAGUGGGUGGUUAUUUAUAUCAUGGGUGAAAGUAGUGGGAGUAGUGGACAUCCAUAUUUACUAAAUAUUUUAGGUGUGGGAGUUACAAUCAUAAUGGUUAUGAGUAGUGGGUGGUUAUUUAUAUCAUGGGUGAAAGUAGUGGGAAUAGUGGACAUCCAUAUUUACUAAAUAUUUUGUAACACUCUCUCUUGGAUGUCAAAAAAAAAUAGAUAAUAUGCCUCGUUAAAAUUUUACUAAGAAAGAACCCUACGGAAAAAAAAUCUUAGUGGAGGAAAAAGGGUACGCAUAUCUGUAAUAUACUUUAUUUGCUGCCUUGUUAAAAGCUUUACCAGUAAAAUUCAGUGGGACAAAACUUAUACUAAGGGAAAAAGAGUACAGCGCGUAUGUUACUCCCCCUCAUAAAAAUAUCAUUUUAUUUCUCGAAGACGUCGCAUUCCAAUCUUCUGUCUCAACUUCUCAAAUGUUGAGGUUGAUAAAGCCUUAGCGAACAGAUCAGCCAAAUUUUCACAUGAACGAAUCUGUCGGACAUUAGUUUUACCAUUUUGUUGAAGAUCAUGUGUGAAAAAACUUUGGUGAAAUAUGUUUUGUUCUGUCUCCUUUGAUGUAUCCUCCUUUCAGUUGAGAAAUACAAGCAUCAUUGUCUUCAUAUAGUAUUGUUGGAUUAUCCUUUUUCAUUAAAAAAUCACAUAUUUCCUGGAUAUGCUGAGUCAUUGUUCUCAACCAAAUACAUUUCCGACUAGCUUCAUAAAUGGCUAUUAUCUCAACAUAAUUUGAAGAUGUGGCAGCUAUUGUUUGCUUCAUUGAACGCCAUGAUAUAGAGUGCCUCCAUAUGUAAACAAAUAGCCUGUUUGAGAUUGGACUUUAUGUGGAUCAGACAAAUAACCUGCAUCGGCAUAGCCAGUUAUUUCUGACUUGAAUUCAUUAGAAUAAAUCAAUCCCAUAUUUGUGGUUCCCCGAAGAUAUCUAAAUAUAUGUUUAACACUAUUCCAAUGUUUUCUUGUUGGGGAGGAGCUGAAGCUUGCGAAUUAGCUAACUGCAAAAGCAAUAUAUGGUCGAGUAUUGUUGGCAAGAUACAUCAGUGCCCCAAUUGCACUAAGAUAUGGAGUUUCAUCACCAACGAGCUCUUCAUUAUUUUCUUGAGGUCGAAAUGGAUCUUUA
rnacentral:lncRNA from 1 species